ACUAAUGUGGCGGAAGAGUACGCGUAAAAGCUAAGUUUUUAUAAUAAGUAUAUAACAAUAUUUCAUUAGUA
rnacentral:tRNA from 1 species